GUCAUUUCCAGAGCUCGCCGAUAUGCAUAAUUGCAAUCGAAAUUCUUCAAACCCGUACCCAUAACUUUCUGCAGUUAUGGGUAAAGCAAACAGAAUCUCAAACCGAGUUAUAGAGAGGGCGCAGUUAACCUUUAAGUGUAGCACUGUCCAAACACAUUUUCUGCAGAAAUCCUGUUUCGUAUCUUCAACUUUAACAUCACCUACAUAACGCAUUGUAACUCCGAAUCCGAUGAAAUUUGAUAUUCCAACAAGGGUAAAUUCGUUAGCUUUACAGAACUUAAAGAAUUAACGAGUUACAGGGAAGGAGUACUUAUUGUUUUUCUGAAAGUAUAUCCAAAAACGAAAUUCAACACAAUCUCUUUCAAAAGUCACCAAUCAAAACUUCAAGCUUCAAGCAUGAACCCAUGACUCCUUGACUACUAUAUCUCACAUACAAGCUCUCAAUUAAAAAAGGAAGGGAGUACUCAUCAGAUUUUGGUUGAAUAAUUAAAAAGGGAAAUUACAAGGAUUCUGUUAAAGAAAAGGAAAAGGUAAGUUUGUUACCUUGUUUACUUAUGGCUAGAGAAGUUGCUACCUUUCCUUAGUUCCAAGCUUGAAUUGAAGAGAAUGGUUAGAGUGAGAGGGAGUAGGCGUGAGAGGAAGAGGGAGUAUUGGAAUGGUUACUGAGAAAUGAAUUUGAUAGAAAAUGGGUGAUCUUGGAGUGGUUAGGCAAUUAAAUACUCUUCAUGCUCAAAUUACCAACUU
rnacentral:lncRNA from 1 species